rnacentral:rRNA from 1 species
UACGAAGGGUGCAAGCGUUACUCGGAAUUACUGGGCGUAAAGCGUGCGUAGGUGGUGAGUUAAGUCUGUCGUGAAAGCCCCGGGCUCAACCUGGGAAUGGCGAUGGAUACUGGCUCGCUAGAGUGCGGUAGAGGAGAGUGGAAUUCCACGUGUAGCGGUGAAAUGCGUAGAGAUGUGGAGGAACACCAGUGGCGAAGGCGACUCUUUGGCCCGUAACUGACGCUGAGGCGCGAAAGCGUGGGGAGCAAACAGG